UGUUGUUGGCGUGAUGGCAAUUGUAUGCGUUUGGAAAUUUUGGAUGAGAUGGAAGUGGCCCUUAGCUGUUAGAUAGCUGCAUGGAAAAUAAAUGAAAAUGUCUGUUGUUUCAUACCUCUAGGGUGGGAAAUUGUGUUUGUAAAUAAGGGAUCGUGAUAAUGAACUAAUCUUGGAGGGGUGAAUUUCCAGGAAUUUUGUCCAUUCAUUAAUUCUUUAGCAGGUAAUAUUUGGCAAUUAUUUACAUUUAGCGUCAAGAGACCUUCAAUAAUGAGCCGACGAGCAAUAGGCACCCGAUUGGCAUUUUGAAGAAAAAUGGUUGUAUCAUCAGCAACUGGGCUGAUGGCAACUUCUCUGGCGGCUAUUGUUAAACAGCGCAGAGCAGUGUGGGGAUUGGACAGGAAGCAAUUAAGUGCAGGCGCGCGCGGCCCAAGCGAUCGCACCUGCGGAGGGCGUGGCGCAGCGGAUAUAGGUGGCGCUUUGGCAGAAGGCCGUGAUGAAGUCGGCGACGCGGUCGCCCGGGGAGCGCAGGUAAGCGGCGCGAGCUGACAGUUCAGGCUGAGCUUUGCAGCUAAUCGCUAAGCCUUGCAAUGCGUUUCUCUCUCCCAGUUUAGCGCCGUGGCCAUCCCGGUUCGUGUCGACGGACAAAAGGCGCCGACGAAGAGGAGCAUUGAAGCACGUCUUGCGCGAGGCGUCAAAGCAGCACGAGGAGUUGUUGAACCGAAGGGGCGGCCUUCGAGGAGCUGGACGGGAGGAUUCCGAGAUGCUUCCCGCAGUUAAAUCGGUUGACGUUUCCGCAGUUGAAUCCGGUUGCAAAUUUGUGCAGUGUGACUGCACAAAAGGGUAACUGGUUUCUCUCUCUCUCUCUCUCUCUCCCCCAUCUGUCUUUGCAGAUCGUUUCCAAACUGGCGCGGAACGGCGCCCUCCUGUGGGCGGAGGGGCAACUGCAGCGUUCAGUCUCCACUAGAUGUUUUGCUCAUGUUUUUCUCUCUCUCGUCUGUCUUCGCAGAUCGUUGAUGAACUGGCGCGGAACGGCGCCCUCCUGUGGGCGGAGGGGCAACUGCAGCGUUUAGUCUGUACUGGAUGUUUUUCUCUCGUCUGUCUUUGAAGAUCGUUGACGGAACGGCGCCCUCCUGUGGGCGGAGGGGCAACUGCAGCGUUCAGUCUCCACUGGAUGUUUUGCUCUCUCUCUCUCUCUCUCGUCUGUCUUUGCAGAUCGUUGACGACCUGGCGCGGAACGGCGCCCUCCUGUGGGCGGAGGGGCAAGUGCAGCGUUCAGUCUCCUAGAUGUGUUUUUUUCUCUCUUUCUCGUCUGUCUUCGCAGAUCGUUGACGAACUGGCGCGGAACGGCGCCCUCCUGUGGGCCAAGGGGCAACUGCAGCGUUUAGUCUCUACUGGAUGUUUUUCUCUCUCGUCUGUCUGUGCAGAUCGUUGACGAACUGGAGCGGAACGGCGCCCUCCUGUGGGCGGAGGGGCAACUGCAGCGUUCAGUCUCCACUGGAUGUUUUGCUCUCUCUCUCUCUCUCUCCCUCUCUCGUCUGUCUUUGCAGAUCGUUGACGACCUGGCGCGGAACGGCGCCCUCCUGUGGGCGGAGGGGCAACUGCAGCGUUCAGUCUCUACUGGAUGUUUUUCUCUCUCGUCUGUCUGUGCAGAUCGUUGACGAACUGGAGCGGAACGGCGCCCUCCUGUGGCAAGAGGGCGCAACUGCAGCGUUAAGGCUCCACUGGAUGGUGCUUUGCUCGAUGACCUCCGAGGUCGUCGAGCACGUGCCACGUUGGCUGAUUUAGGGCACCUGCGGCGCCCAGGACGCCGUCUACACGAGUAGUGAGCCCGGAGCACGUUUGGCUCUCUGCUGCUUUCCACAGCGGCGUACGGGCGGCCUGGCCAUUUGCUGCACCUCACUCCUUUUUGGGCCCCAAGUGUGGUUUAGUUGGCCUGACCUCUGCCUAAAUUUAGCACUCACGACACAAGUGGCAUUCCCUGUCAAAGUAAAUUGGAUGCAUGCAUUUAGUUUUGUUUUGUAGUGGCCCGUGGCUGAAAAGUUGGAGCGGCAGCUAUCAAUGAGUUGCACAAGAUCCAGAGAGUGGUGUGAGACAUUUGACUGGUGUGGCCGCAGCUUCCGUUCCAAGAUGGUGGCCCGGUGAUCCUCACGAACCGCCACAAAGUUGUUGCUCGACUGCCACCUGAUGAGCAACAAGAUGUGGUUGGAAAACUGCGCUGAAGAGGCAACCUGAGGCCAAAGUGUAUUGCAACAGCCAUGCUGACAAACUCUUGACGAGGGCAUUGCAGUUCCGAGUAAAUGUGCAUCCUCUGGAUGAAUGCUGCUCUGGUCCCCUGUGUUUGAAAAUGGCUAUGACAGUUGUAUUCCAAGUAAGUGGAGUAAGCAGAUUGUGAAUUUGUAGUGGUUUCAUUAACUAAUGUGCAGUUUUGUUUUUGCAAGCUCCGCAGGACCACUGCUGCAGUUGUACUGGGACUGCUUUUUGCACUUAGUUUGAAGGUGGGAGUUGUCCAGCAGGGGAUAAUUGGAAUAGCAUUAACAGGUAAAUUUAAUAGUAUUUUUUUGAGAGCCAGACUAAGUGUUCCAGGUUCCUGAGCCAGUGGGAGGAGAAGGCACCAGGUCAGGAUGAUUCACGGAACACUUGGAGCAGGAGAGCAGACCAUCAGGCAUGGACACGCUUGCCAUGUGAGUAAAUGACAACCUUGUUGACUUUUUGUGUUGACUUUGAAUAAAGAUUUUUGGAAAAAAAGAAUUUGUGUCCC